UAAAUGGGAGCUUGGUGGAAAGCAUUUGGCUGUUAACCAAAAAGAUGCGGGAUCGAGGCCCGCCCGUUUAG
rnacentral:tRNA from 1 species